UAUAGUGUAGAACCGAAGCGG
rnacentral:piRNA from 1 species